AACGAACGCUGGCGGCAUGCCUAACACAUGCAAGUCGAACGAGACCUUCGGGUCUAGUGGCGCACGGGUGCGUAACGCGUGGGAACCUGCCCUUAGGUUCGGAAUAACUCCCCGAAAGGGGUGCUAAUACCGGAUAAUGUCUUCGGACCAAAGAUUUAUCGCCUUUGGAUGGGCCCGCGUUGGAUUAGCUAGUUGGUAGGGUAAAAGCCUACCAAGGCGACGAUCCAUAGCUGGUCUGAGAGGAUGAUCAGCCACACUGAGACUGAGACGCGGCCCAGACUCCUACGGGAGGCAGGAGUGGGGAAUAUUGGAAAACGGGCGAAAGCAUGAACCAGCAAGGCCGGGUGAGUGAUGAAGGCCGGAGGGUUGAAAAGCUCUUUUACACGGGAUGAUAAUGACGGUACCGGGAGAAUAAGCACCGGCUAACUCCGUG
rnacentral:rRNA from 1 species